CACGUAGGGCGCGAGCGUUGUCCGGAAUUAUUGGGCGUAAAGAGCUCGUAGGCGGCCUGUUGCGUCCGCUGUGAAAGCCCGGGGCUUAACCCCGGGUCUGCAGUGGAUACGGGCAGGCUAGAGGUAGGUAGGGGGAGAAUGGAAUUCCCGGUGUAGCGGGUGAAAUGCGCAGAUAUCGGGAGGAACACCGGUGGCGAAGGCGGUUCUCUGGGCCUUACCUGACGCUGAGGAGCGAAAGCGUGGGGAGCGAACAGG
rnacentral:rRNA from 1 species